AGCGACGAUUAUGAAGCCGUGUCAUCGUACCCAAAAGACUUGGUUCGCUGUCCUGAGCUGAACUUUGAUGAAGGCACCGCUUCAGGUCAAGUAGCUGUUGACCCUCAAGGAGUUAUCAAUUACGAUAAAAGAAGAAAUGUCAAAAGCAGGUCACCUUCACUUAUGAAAAAUAUGGUCUUAAGCAACAAGGGACUUCAUGGACCAGAUCAUAUGUACCUCGUCGUUUCAAUUAUUUUUGACACAACAGGCCUAUUUAAAAAAGCUAACUGGAAAGCGAUUAAAAUUAUUCUUGGCACAAAAGCUGCAUUUUACAAAUCAAAAUCGAGAAAAAGGGUUUGGACGUGCAAAAACACCUGUACAAUUGUACCUGGGCAUGGUGCCAAAACCAAUAUAGUUUCAUAUAUUGUUUAUGACAA